UAUAAACAACGAGACCUCUCCACCACAACCCACUCAGCAGCCACUGGAACACCAACAGCAGCAACAACAACAUCACCAACAGAAGGGGCAAGACAAUUGGCAGCAACAAAGACCACAUCAACAGCAAGGUCAAAGGAAACAGCAUCAAGGUCAAGGUCAUGCGAACCACCGACCUCAUGACUCUGGACCUAAUUUAGACACAGGUGAAUACAAGCUGAAGCACAUGAUAGACUUUGUGAGGAACCUGCCGUGCAAUAAUGUCAAGCCUUUGUCCACGGGGGCAGACAUCUUGGAAGAGGCGUGGUCAAGGCAAUAGAAGAGGAGGUGGACAGAGUUAAUGAGGAAAACAGGAGGAAACAGAAGAAAGUCAAGAUGCAAGUGAAACCUCAUUUGUUGUUCAGACCCCUCAUCAACCAAGACCAGACUGCCACCUACUGGCUGUACGACCGUGUGGUAGCUGUGAAGCUGGGAUACCCCGUCCCCCUUGGAUUGCGGGGACGGUUGUCGGCAUCCACCCUGAUGAGAAGGAGAGCGACAUGCUGUAUGAUGUGGUGUUUGAUGCUGAACUUAUCGGAGGAAUCAAUGUCAGAAGAAUGGUGGGUUUACCAGCAACAAUCCCCAAUUUGUUACACCAAAAGUCACACAAACACAGUUUUCUAAACGAACACCAAACAGAACUCAACAGACAGGAGGAAAGACACAACCUUCCCAAGAUGCAACCAGCAACUCAGAGUUUGCCAACAUGUGGAAGGAGCUGCAGGCCGGCACAGUACAGACAGCGCCAUCAAGUGGCAACCUCCUCCAAGAACCAUCACUCCAAUAGGCAGCACUUGCAUUGGGGCAGAUAACUCCUCCUACAACACGGCACCAGAAGAAACCAGAACUGAGUGGACGUGGUGACAGCGUUAAUGAAUCAGGAGUGGUAGCAGUAAGAAGAUCGAUCUUCAGACUCUGUUUGAUCGUGCUAGCUUGCAGAAGGAAGCCGCGGAGAAAGAUGAGUUCAUUGCCAUGAUGGACUCUCUGAAGUUGUCCUGGAAGACCCAGAAGGAGGAAGAGGUCGUAGGAGGAAUCAAUAGUAAUAAUAAUGCCACGGAACAGGAUGGUAGCUCUGCACUGAAACACAUGCUGAAGAUCGGAUCGGACACUGGUACAACGCCAGUGGGAGGUAGUGCGCCCAGUACUUCAUCACCAACAAAAGCAUAUGGGAAACAGUUAUCAGUGCAGGAACUGUUUGAUGGUGCUAAUUAUAAACAACAGGAGACCUCUCCACCACAACCCAAACAGCAGCAACAGGAACACCAACAGCAGCAACAACACCA
rnacentral:lncRNA from 1 species